rnacentral:misc_RNA from 1 species
GAUGAAGAACGCAGUGAAAUGCGAUAAGUAAUGUGAAUUGCAGAAUUCAGUGAAUCAUCGAAUCUUUGAACGCACAUUGCGCCCGCUGGUAUUCCGGCGGGCAUGCCUGUUCGAGCGUCAUUUCAACCCUCAAGCCCCCGGGUUUGGUGUUGGGGAUCGGCUCUGCCCUUCUGGGCGGUGCCGCCCCCGAAAUACAUUGGCGGUCUCGCUGCAGCCUCCAUUGCGUAGUAGCUAACACCUCGCAACUGGAACGCGGCGCGGCCAUGCCGUAAAACCCCAACUUCUGAAUGUUGACCUCGGAUCAGGUAGGAAUACCCGCUGAACUUAAGCAUAUCAAUAAGCGGAGGA